AGGAUUAACGCUGGCGGCGUGCAUGAAACAUGCAAGUCGAGCGCGGUGUGAUGCGGGGUAACCCAAUUCACAUCUAGCGGCGAACGGGUGAGUAACACGUGAGCAACCUACCUUUGAGUUGGGGAUAGCCCUGGGAAACCAGGAUUAAUACCCGAUGUGGUCACAACAGGACAUCCUGAUGUGAGUAAAGGCGCAAGCCGCUCAAUGACGGGCUCGCGGCCUAUUAGCUUGUUGGUGGGGUAACGGCCUACCAAGGCGAUGAUGGGUAGCUGGUCUGAGAGGACGAUCAGCCACACUGGGACUGAGACACGGCCCAGACUCCUACGGGAGGCAGCAGUUAGGAAUUUUCCGCAAUGGGCGAAAGCCUGACGGAGCAACGCCGCGUGAGUGAUGAAGACCUUCGGGUUGUAAAGCUCUGUCGGAGGGGAAGAACACAAUGACGGUACCCUCCAAGAAACGCCCCGGCUAACUACGUGCCAGCAGCCGCGGUAA
rnacentral:rRNA from 1 species